AUUGAACGCUGGCGGCAUGCUUUACACAUGCAAGUCGAACGGUAACAGGCCGCAAGGUGCUGACGAGUGGCGAACGGGUGAGUAAUGCAUCGGAACGUGCCCAGUCGUGGGGGAUAACGCAGCGAAAGCUGCGCUAAUACCGCAUACGAUCUAUGGAUGAAAGCGGGGGACCGUAAGGCCUCGCGCGAUUGGAGCGGCCGAUGUCAGAUUAGGUAGUUGGUGGGGUAAAGGCUCACCAAGCCAACGAUCUGUAGCUGGUCUGAGAGGACGACCAGCCACACUGGGACUGGGACACGGCCCAGACUCCUACGGGAGGCAGCAGUGGGGAAUUUUGGACAAUGGGCGCAAGCCUGAUCCAGCAAUGCCGCGUGCAGGAAGAAGGCCUUCGGGUUGUAAACUGCUUUUGUACGGAACGAAACGGUCUGGGUUAAUACCCUGGGCUAAUGACGGUACCGUAAGAAUAAGCACCGGCUAACUCUGUGCCAGCAGCCGCGGUAACAC
rnacentral:rRNA from 1 species